UACCCGCUGAACUUAAGCAUAUCAAUAAGCGGAGGAAAAGAAACCAACAGGGAUUGCCUUAGUAACGGCGAGUGAAGCGGCAAAAGCUCAGAUUUGAAAUCUGGUACAUUGUAUGUGCCCGAGUUGUAAUCUGUAGAGGAUCAUUCGAGUGUGGAUUUGGCUUAAGUUCCUUGGAACAGGGCGUCAUAGAGGGUGAGAACCCCGUAUGUAGUCUUAGUCUUAUGCUCAUGUGAAUGUCCUUCAACGAGUCGAGUUGUUUGGGAAUGCAGCUCUAAAUUGGUGGUAAAUUCCAUCUAAAGCUAAAUACUGGCAAGAGACCGAUAGCGCACAAGUAGAGUGAUCGAAAGAUGAAAAGAACUCUGAACAGAGAGUUAAAUAGUACGUGAAAUUGUUGAAAGGGAAGCACUUGUUACCAGACACGCUUGCAGCUAAUCAGCCUCUCUUUUGAGUGGUGCACUUGGUUGUAGGUGGGUCAGCAUCAGUUACGGCGGUGGGAGAAAGACUUGGGGAAUGUGGCUUCUUUCGGGGAGUGUUAUAGCCCUAGGUGUAAUGCCAUCUGUUGUGACUGAGGACCGCGCUUCGGCGAGGAUGCUGGCAUAAUGGUCAUAAGUGACCCGUCUUGAAACACGGACCAAGGAGUCUAACAUCUAUGCGAGUGUUUGGGUGGAAAACCCUUACGCGUAAUGAAAGUAAAUGGAGGUGGGAUCCGCAAGGUGCACCAUCGACCGAUCCUGAUGUUCUCGGAUGGAUUUGAGUAUGAGCAUAGCUGUUGGGACCCGAAAGAUGGUGAACUAUGCCUGAAUAGGGUGAAGCCAGAGGAAACUCUGGUGGAGGCUCGCAGCGGUUCUGACGUGCAAAUCGAUCGUCAAAUUUGGGUAUAGGGGCGAAAGACUAAUCG
rnacentral:rRNA from 1 species